GAUGAACGCUGGCGGCGUGCCUAAUACAUGCAAGUCGAGCGAACGGACGAGAAUCUUGCUUCUCUGAUGUUAGCGGCGGACGGGUGAGUAACACGUGGAUAACCUACCUAUAAGACUGGGAUAACUUCGGGAAACCGGAGCUAAUACCGGAUAAUAUUUUGAACGCCUGGUUUCAACGUAAAAUGCGGUCUUGCUGUCACUUAUUGAUGGCUUCGCGCUGGAUUAGCUAGUUGGUAAGGUAACGGCUUACCAAGGCAACGAUUCAUAGCCGAACUGAGAGGGGGAUCGGCCACACUGGAACUGAGACACGGUCCAGACUCCUACGGGAGGCAGCAGUAGGGAAUCUUCGGCAAUGGGCGAAAGCCUGACGGAGCAACGCCGCGUGAGUGAUGAAGGUCUUCGGAUCGUAAAACUCUGUUAUUAGGGAAGAACAGAUGUGUAAGUAACUGUGCACAUCUUGACGGUACCGAAUCAGAAAGCCACGGCUAACUACGUG
rnacentral:rRNA from 1 species